rnacentral:rRNA from 1 species
GACGAACCGUCCAAACGUUAUUCGGAAUCACUGGGCUUAAAGGGUGCGUAGGCGGCCUGACAAGUUGGGUGUGAAAGCCCUCGGCUUAACCGAGGAAUGGCGCCCAAAACUGCUAGGCUCGAGGAAGAUAGAGGUGAGCGGAACUUAGGGUGGAGCGGUGAAAUGUGUUGAUAUCCUAAGGAACACCAGUAGCGAAAGCGGCUCACUAGGUCUUUUCUGACGCUGAGGCACGAAAGCUAGGGGAGCGAACGGG